GCUAGUAAUGGCAGGUCAGCAUACUGCCGUGAAUACGUUCCCGGGCCUUGUACACACCGCCCGUCACACCAUGAGAGUUGGAAAUACCCGAAGCCUGUGAGCUAACAAACGAGGCAGCAGUCGAAGGUAGAGCCAAUGAUUGGGGUGAAGUCGUAACAAGGUAGC
rnacentral:rRNA from 1 species